UCAGCUGAAAAUGGGCACCUUCGGUUGGCCACCAGAACUCAAGCGCCGGCCAUGGUGAUGGUGUGGGUCGCCAUCACCGACGAUGCAUCAGAAUAAAUGCCGAAUAUUAUCGCGAAAUAUUCUGGAGGGAAUAUUAAAGCCUUGGGCAUGCAAACAUUUUGGCCGCAGACCUUGGACAUUACAACAACAGCACUCAGUACCACCGCACUCAGCAAGCGCCACCCAAGAGUGGUUAUAAAAUGAGGUUCCUCGCUUCAUUUCCAGUGCACAAUGGCCACCAAAAUCUCCGGAUUCCAAUCCGUUGGACUAUUGUGUCUGAAGUAUUUUGGAAAGCAAGAUUGCACUAAAAAAAAACACCAAAGUGUCGAUCAUCUCAAGCAAGCGCUUCGCCGGGAAUGGGUCUAAAAUACCGCAGAGCAACAUUCGGGCAGCGUGUAAUGGUUCCAUUGGCCGUUUGAAGGCCAUAAUUUGUGCCAAAGGUGACCAAUUCGAAUAAAUCUAAACUUAUUCUAAAAUUGAAUGCUAUUUCCGACAUUUUUUGGUUUCAUUCAAUAAAAUUUAA